AUUGAACGCUGGCGGCAGGCCUAACACAUGCAAGUCGAGCGGAUGAAGGGAGCUUGCUCCUGGAUUCAGCGGCGGACGGGUGAGUAAUGCCUAUGAAUCUGCCUGGUAGUGGGGGAUAACGUCCGGAAACGGGCGCUAAUACCGCAUCCGUCCUGAGGGAGAAAGUGGGGGAUCUUCGGACCUCACGCUAUCAGAUGAGCCUAGGUCGGAUUAGCUAGUUGGUGGGGUAAAGGCCUACCAAGGCGACGAUCCGUAACUGGUCUGAGAGGAUGAUCAGUCACACUGGAACUGAGACACGGUCCAGACUCCUACGGGAGGCAGCAGUGGGGAAUAUUGGGCGAUGGGCCAAAGCCUGAUCCAGCCAUGCCGCGUGUGUGAAGAAGGUCUUCGGAUUGUAAAGCACUUUAAGUUGGGAGGAAGGGCAGUAAGUUAAUACCUUGCUGUUUUGACGUUACCAACAGAAUAAGCACCGGCUAACUUCGUG
rnacentral:rRNA from 1 species